AUUGUAAUGGCCUGUCGAGAAUUUGAAAUGGGAAGGAAAAAGUGUGAGCGCUAUUGGCCUUUGUAUGGAGAAGACCCUAUAACAUUUGCACCAUUUAAAAUUUCAUGUGAAGAUGAACAAGCAAGACCAGACUACUUCAUUCGGACACUCUUACUUGAAUUCCAAAAUGAAUCUCGUAGGCUCUAUCAGUUUCAUUAUGUGAACUGGCCUGACCAUGAUGUUCCUUCUUCAUUUGAUUCUAUUCUGGACAUGAUAAGCUUAAUGAGAAAAUACCAGGAACACGAAGAUGUGCCUAUUUGUAUUCAUUGCAGUGAAGGCUGUGGAAGAACAGGUGCCAUCUGUGCCAUAGAUUAUACAUGGAAUUUACUAAAAGCUGGGAAAAUACCAGAGGAAUUUAAUGUAUUUAAUUUAAUACAAGAAAUGAGAACACAAAGGCAUUCUGCAGUACAAACAAAGGAGCAGUAUGAACUUGUUCAUAGAGCUAUUGCCCAACUAUUUGAAAAACAGCUGCAACUGUAUGAAAUUCAUGGAACCCAGAAAAUUGCUGAUGGUAAUGAAAUAACCACUGAAAAUAUGGUCAGCUCUAUAGAUGGUGAAAAACAAGAUUCUCCUCCUCCAAAGCCACCAAGGACUCGCAGUUGCCUUGUAGAAGGGGAUGCUAAGGAAGAAAUACUGCAGCCACCAGAACCUCACCCGGUGCCACCCAUCUUGACACCUUCUCCCCCUUCAGCCUUCCCAACAGUUACUACUGUGUGGCAGGACAACGACAGAUACCACCCAAAGCCGGUGUUGCACAUGGUUUCAUCAGAACAGCAUUCAACAGACCUCAACAGAAACUAUAAUAAAUCAUCAGACACAACAGGGAAAAGUGAAUCAACUAUUGAACAAAUAGAUAAAAAAUUAGAGCGAAAUUUAAGUUUUGAGAUUAAGAAAGUCCCUCUCCAAGAAGGACCAAAAAGUUUUGAUGGGAACACACUCUUGAAUAGGGGACAUGCAAUUAAAAUUAAAUCUGCUUCCUCUUGUAUAACUGAUAAAAUCGCUAAGCCACAGGAGUUAAACUCGGGUGAUCUAAAAGUUGAUGAUGUUUCUCAGAAUUCUUGUGUGGAGUGCCAUGGAACACGUUUAAGCAAAGCUCCUGAUACUUUAUCAGAAGAAUCACAGAAGAAUUCAGACACACCUCCACGGCCAGACUGCUUGCCUCUUGAUAAGAAAGGACAUGCGACAUGCUUGAUAACCUCUGAAAAUGAAAAAUAUGAUCAUCCAGCAGGAGGUCUCCACACAGAGGCGUAUACAGAGUGUCCAACUACUUUCAGUGACAAGAAAGAUCAAAUAACAGAAAGUCUAACAGAAUCUACAGAUAUUGGUUUUGGUAAUCGCUGUGGAAAACCCAAAGGACCAAGAGAUCCACCUUCAGAAUGGACAUGAUUCAGGGAAUUAAAAGACACUUUAAAUUAUACUGGAAAAUUCAAGUGCCACUGAACGCCAGAUUUAUAGUAUUCCAUCUUCAAAACGUGGGACUAACAGCAGUGUAGAUUGUUACCUUAAUAUUUUUUGCUGGGACCAUCUACCUGCCUUAUAC